UACGAAUGGUGCAAGCGUUAUUGAGAUGUAUUGGGCGUAAAGGAUUCGUAGGUGGAUAUUUAGACUCUUGGCAAAAUGCUAGAAACAUACUUGUAGCAAAGCGAUUUUAGAUUUUUUAUCUAGAGUUAAUGUUAGGUGCGUGGAAUACCUAGUGUAGAUAUAAAAAGCGAAUAUUAGGUGGAACACCGAUAGCGAAGGCAACGUUCCAACGUUAACUGACACUGAGGGAUGAAAGUGUGGGGAGCGACCAGG
rnacentral:rRNA from 1 species